rnacentral:rRNA from 1 species
UAGGGUAACGGCCUACCAAGGCAAAGACGGGUAGGGGGUGUGAGAGCAUGACCCCCCACAAUGGGACUGAGACACGGCCCAUACUCCUACGGGAGGCAGCAGCAGGGAAUAUUGCACAAUGGACGGAAGUCUGAUGCAGCGACGCCGCGUGGAUGAUGAAGGCCCUCGGGUCGUAAAAUCCUUUUCAGGGGGAAGAGGAAGGACGGUACCCCUGGAAUAAGCGUCGGCUAACUACGUGCCAGCAGCCGCGGUAAGACGUAGGACGCAAGCGUUAUCCGGAUUUACUGGGCGUAAAGCGUCUGUAGGCGGUUGGGUAAGUUGGGCGUGAAAGCUCCGUGCUCAACGCGGAGAGGUCGUUCAAUACUGCCGAACUAGAGGACAUCAGAGGAGCAUGGAAUUUCCGGUGUAGCGGUAAAAUGCGCAGAUAUCGGAAGGAACACCAGUGGCGAAGGCGGUGCUCUGGGGUGUGCCUGACGCUGAGAGACGAAAGCUAGGGGAGCGAACAGGAUUAGAGGCCCUGGUAGUCCUAGCCCUAAACGAUGGAUGCUAGAUGUGGGGCCGAGAAGGCUCCGUGUCGCAGUUAACGCGGUAAGCAUCCCGCCUGGGGAUUACGGCCGCAAGGCUUAAACUCAAACGAAUUGACGGGGCCCCGCACAAGUAGCGGAGCGUGUGGUUUAAUUCGAUGCUACACGAAGAACCUUACCUGGGUUUGACAUGUAAGUGGUAGUGAAGCGAAAGCGGAGCGACCCUUCGGGGAGCUUACACAGGUGCUGCAUGGCUGUCGUCAGCUCGUGCCGUGAGGUGUCGGGUUAAGUCCCGUAACGAGCGCAACCCUUGCCCUUAGUUACAAGUGUCUAAGGGGACUGCCGGCGGUAAGCCGGAGGAAGGUGGGGAUGACGUCAAGUCAGCAUGGCCCUUAUAUCCAGGGCUACACACACGCUACAAUGGUCAGUACAAAGGGCAGCGAAGCCGCGAGGUGAAGCGAAUCCCACCAAAGCUGAUCUAAGUUCGGAUUGCAGGCUGCAACUCGCCUGCAUGAAGCUGGAGUUGCU